rnacentral:rRNA from 1 species
UACGUAGGGUGCAAGCGUUGUCCGGAAUUAUUGGGCGUAAAGAGCUCGUAGGCGGUUUGUCGCGUCUGCUGUGAAAACUGGAGGCUCAACCUCCAGCCUGCAGUGGGUACGGGCAGACUAGAGUGCGGUAGGGGAGAUUGGAAUUCCUGGUGUAGCGGUGAAAUGCGUAGAUAUCUGGAGGAACACCGGUGGCGAAGGCGCAUCCUGGACCGGCAUUGACGCUGAGGCGCGAAAGCCAGGGGAGCAAACGGG